rnacentral:rRNA from 1 species
CCCUACCGUAGGCAGCGCAGGGGAAUCUCGACAAGGCACCAAAGCCUGAGCCUGCACAACCGCGAAAGCAAGAACCAGCUACCUGGUAAAGCUCUGUAUCCCUUGAGAAACGUAAAAUCCUUAUUCGGGAGGGAUUGACGGUACCUGCAGAAUAAGCACCGCUACUACUG